GGAAAGGAUCCCUCUGCAGAAAAGGGCCAGAUUUCUUCUGAGGCAGAGAGGCCUCCGUUGGACACCAGGCAGAGGCAGCUGGGUGACACAGUGAUGCUGGCUAGACCUCUUCAUCCAUCUUUUCAUGGGGACAGAAUGGAAGCAGCGGCUGUGGAAACAGAUCAGGGUCCAGUGUGCUUUGAAGAUGUUGCUGUUAGUUUCACAGAUGAGGAGUGGGAGUUGCUGGAUCCUGACCAGAGAGCUCUGCAUAAAGACGUCAUGGAGGAGAAUCAUAGGAUGUUGGCCUUUCUUGUUAAUGAUGGACUGGG